GAUGAACGCUGGCGGCGUGCCUAAUACAUGCAAGUCGAGCGAACAGAUGAGGAGCUUGCUCCUCUGACGUUAGCGGCGGACGGGUGAGUAACACGUGGAUAACCUACCUAUAAGACUGGGAUAACUUCGGGAAACCGGAGCUAAUACCGGAUAAUAUAUUGAACCGCAUGGUUCAAUAGUGAAAGACGGUUUUGCUGUCACUUAUAGAUGGAUCUGCGCCGCAUUAGCUAGUUGGUAAGGUAACGGCUUACCAAGGCAACGAUGCGUAGCCGACCUGAGAGGGUGAUCGGCCACACUGGAACUGAGACACGGUCCAGACUCCUACGGGAGGCAGCAGUAGGGAAUCUUCCGCAAUGGGCGAAAGCCUGACGGAGCAACGCCGCGUGAGUGAUGAAGGUCUGCGGAUCGUAAAACUCUGUUAUUAGGGAAGAACAAAUGUGUAAGUAACUAUGCACGUCUUGACGGUACCUAAUCAGAAAGCCACGGCUAACUACGU
rnacentral:rRNA from 1 species